AAAAGAUGUAAUGAGUAAUUUUACACUACUGUCCAUACAAUUGCAGGAAAUUGCUUUAGUGGUGUAUUUAACGCUGCAUAUCUACAAAAGCAUCUGGGCACCCCUUCAAUUAGUGGAUUUGGCUAUUUCAGCCACACCCAUUGCUAACAGGUGUAUAAAAUCAAGCACACCGCCAUGCAACCUCCAUAAAGAAACAUUAGCAGUAGAAUGGCCUUACUAAAGAGUUCAGUGAUUUUCAACGUGACACCGUCAUACGAUGCCACCUUUCCAACAAGUCAGUUCAAAUUUCUGCCCUGCUAGAGCUGCCCCGGUCAACUGUAAGUGCUGUUAUUGUGAAGUGCAAAGAUCUAGGAGCAACAACGGCUCAGCCGUGAAGUGGUAGGCCACACAAGCUCACAGAACUGGACCGCCGUCUGACGUCUGUUGCAACACUCACUACCGAUUUCCAAACUGCCCCUGGAAGCAACAUCAGCACAAGAACUGUUUGUCAGAAAUUUCAUGAAAUGGUUUUCCAUGGCCAAGCAGCCGCACAGAAGCCUAAGAUCACCAUGCACAAUUCCAAGCGUUGGCUGGAGUGGUGUAAAGCUUGCCUCCACUGGACUCGGGAGCAAUGGAAACACAUUAUCUGGACUUAUGAAUCACGCUUCACCAUCUGGCGGACAAAUCUGGGUUGGGAGAACACUACCUGCCCGAAAGCAUAGUGUCAACUGUAAAGUUUGGUGGAGGAGGAAUAAAGGUCUGGGGCUGUUUUUCAUGGUUCGGGCUAGGUCCCUUAGUUCUAGUGAUCUUAACGCUACAGCAUACAAGGACAUUCUGUGCUUCCAACUUUCUGCCAACAGUUUGGGAAAGGCCCUUUCCUGUUUCAGCAUGACAAUGCCCCCGGGCACAAAGCGAGGUCCAUACAGAAAUGGUUUGUUGAGAUUGGUGUGGAAGAACUUGACUGGCCUGCACAGAGCCCUGACCUCAACCCCAUCUAACACCUUUGGGAUAAAUUGGAACACUGACUGCGACCCAGGCCUAUGUGCCCGACCUCACUAAUGCUCUUGUGGCUGCAUGGAAGCAAGUUCCCGCAGCAAUGUUCCAACAUCUAGUGGAAAGCUUUCCCAGAAGAGUGGAGGCUGUUAUAGCAGCAAAGGGGGACCAACUACAUAUUAACACCCAUGAUUUUGGAAUGAGAUGUUCGACCAGCAAGUGUCCACAUACUUUUGUUCAUGUAGUGUAUCUCAGUGAUGAACAAUAAUUAAAGUAGGCCCAAAUGCAGGCUCCAGUCAGCAUUCUUGACUCCAACCUUAACCAACUAAUAUUUCACACGUAUCGGUUGAACUUAUUUGAUCUAUCACAAUAGCUAGUGUAAGUCAGUGGAACUAUGAGCUAAAAUACUGUAUAGGGUAAUUCAUGUUCUGAUCCCAGAAAUGUUCCAAACGCUCAAACAGCUAUUUCUCUCAAAUUUUGGGCACAGAUUUGUUUACAUCCCUGCUAGUGACCAUUUGUCAUUUGCCAAGAUAAUCCAUCCACCUGACAGGUUUGGCAUAUCGAGAAGCUGAUUAUUGCUGAUCAUUCCACAGAUGCACCUUUUUCUGGGGACAAUUAAAGGCCACACUAAAAUGUGCAGUUUUGUCACACAAAACAAUGCCACAGAUGUCUCAAGUCUUGAGGGAGCAUGCAAUUGGCAUGCUGACUGCAGGAAUGUCCACCAGAGCUGUUGCUACAGUAUUGAAUGUUCAUUUAUCUACCAUAAGUCUCACAACCGCAGACCACGUACGUGUAUGUCGUCGUGUGGGUACGCGGUUUGCUGAUGUCAACAUUGUGAACAGAGUGCCCCAUGUGGCAGUGGGGUUAUGGUAGGGUCAGGCAUAAACUACCGACAAUGAACACAAUUACAUUUAUCAAUGGCAAUUUGAACGCAGAGAGAUACCGUGACGAGAUCCUGAGGCCCAUUGUUGUGCCAUUUAUCUUCCACCAUCACCUUACGAUUUAGCAUGAUAAUGCACAGCCCCAUGUCGCAAGGAUCUGUACACAAUUCCUGGAAGCUGAAAAUGUCCCAGUUCUUCCAUGGUCUGCAUACUCACCAGACAUGUCACCCAUUGAGCAUGUUUGGGAUGCUCUGGAUCAACGAGUACGACAGCAUGUUCCAGAUUUCCAGCAACUUCGCACAGCCAUUGAAGAGGAUUGGACAAUCUUCCACAGGCCACAAUCAACAGCCUGAUCAACUCUAUGUGAAGGAGAUGUAUGAGGCAAAUGGUGGACACACCAGAUACUGACUGGUUUUCUGAUUCACGCCCCUACUUUUUUAAUGUAUCUGUGACCAACAGAUGCAUAUCUGUUUUCCCAGUCAUGUGAAAUCUAUACAUUAGAGCCAAAGAUAUUUAUUUGAAUUGACUGAUUUCCUUAUAUGAACUGCAACUCAGUAAAAUCGUAGAAAAGUUUUGUUCAGUAUAGCUAGAUGAGACAACCACAUAUUCCAGUCGAAUAUACAGGAUGAAACAUUCCAUUCCACCUAAACAAUAUACAUAGUGUUUUGCAAAAAAAACUUCAUACACAACUAAAAUCUAUUAAUAACAAAUUUGAGAACAGUAAUAUUUAACACACACAUGAAGGUAAUCAUAAGCAAUCAUAUAGCAUUUUGGAAAUAGCAAGUGAAAAGACUGCUCUCUGAGGGCUGGAGGGCACUACAUAAUGACAUAGAUGUCUCCAUUAAAGUUAAUACAGCAUACAUUGACUUUAUCAUCUCCCUUACAUCUGAAUGAAAAUACAUAGUGCUUGUCUGUUCAGCUCUGUUCUGUUGGUUCAGGUCCAUUACUGUGUGUGGCAGGCAGGGUUGGGUGAGAGGUAGGCAGACAGGGUUGGGUGAGAGGUAGGCAGGCAGGAUUGGGUGAGUGGUAGGCAGACAGGGUUGGGUGAGAGGUAGGCUGGCAGAAUUGGAUGAGAGGUAGGCAGGCAGGGUUGGGUGAGAGGUAGGCAGGCAGGGUUGGGUGAGAGGUAGGCAGGCAGGGUUGGGUCCUGUUUGGCCCUGUCCGGGGGUAUCAUCGGAUGGGGCCACAGUGUCUUCUGAUCCCUCCUGUCUCAGCCUCCAGUAUUUAUGCUGCAGUAGUUUAAGUGUCGGGGGGCUAGGGUCAGUCUGUUACAUCUGGAGUAUUUCUCUUGUUUUAUCCGGUGUCCUGUGUGAAUUUAAAUAUGCUCUCUCUAAUUCUCUCUUUCUCUCUUUCUGUCUUUCUCUCGGAGGACCUGAGCCCUAGGACCAUGCCUCAGGACUACCUGGUAUGAUGACUCCUUGCUGUCCCCAGUCCACCUGGCCGUGCUGCUGCUCCAGUUUCAACUGUUCUGCCUGCGGCUAUGGAACCCUGACCUGUUCACCGGACGUGCUUGUUGCACCCUCGACAACUACUAUGAUUAUUAUUAUUUGACCAUGCUGGUCAUUUAUGAACAUUUUAACAUUUUAACAUCUUGACCAUGUUCUGUUAUAAUAUCCACCCUGCACAGCCAGAAGAGGACUGGCCACCCCUCAUAGCCUGGUUCCUUUCUAGGUUUCUUCCUAGGUUUUUGGCCUUUCUAGGGAGUUUUUCCUAGGGAGUUUUUCCUAGCCACCGUGCUUCUUUCACAUGCUUUGCUUGCUGUUUGGGAUUUUAGGCUGGGUUUCUGUACAGCACUUUGAGAUAUCAGCUGAUGUACGAAGGGCUAUAUAAAAAUAAAUUUGAUUUGAUUUGAUUUGAUUUGGGUGAGAGGUAGGCAGGCAGGGUUGGGUGAGAGGUAAGCAGACAGGGUUGGGUAAGAGGUAGGCAGACAGGGUUGGAUGAGAGGUAGGCAGGCAGGAUUGGGUGAGGUAGGCAGACAGGGUUGGGUGAGAGGUAGGCAGACAGGGUUGGGUGAGAGGUAGGCUGGCAGAAUUGGGUGAGAGGUAGGCAGGCAGGAUUGGGUGAGAGGUAGACAGACAGGGUUGGGUGAGAGGUAGGCUGGCAGAAUUGGGUGAGAGGUAGGCUGGCAGAAUUGGGUGAGAGGUAGGCAGGCAGGGUUGGGUGAGAGGUAGGCUGGCAGAAUUGGGUGAGAGGUAGGCAGGCAGGGUUGGGUGAGAGGUAAGCAGACAGGGUUGGGUGAGAGGUAGGCAGGCAGGGUUGGGUGAGAGGUAGGCAGACAGGGUUGGAUGAGAGGUAGGCAGGCAGGAUUGGGUGAGAGGUAGGCAGACAGGGUUGGGUGAGAGGAAGGCUGGCAGAAUUGGAUGAGAGGUAGGCAGGCAGGGUUGGGUGAGAGGUAGGCUGGCAGAAUUGGGUGAGAGGUAGGCAGGCAGGGUUGGGUGAGAGGUAGGCAGACAGGGUUGGGUGAGAGGUAGGCUGGCAGAAUUGGGUGAGAGGUAGGCAGGCAGGAUUGGGUGAGAGGUAGGCAGACAGGGUUGGGUGAGAGGAAGGCUGGCAGAAUUGGGUGAGAGGUAGGCAGGCAGGGUUGGGUGAGAGGUAGGCUGGCAGAAUUGGGUGAGAGGUAGGCAGGCAGGGUUGGGUGAGAGGUAAGCAGACAGGGUUGGGUGAGAGGUAGGCAGGCAGGGUUGGGUGAGAGGUAGGCAGACAGGGUUUGGUGAGAGGUAGGCAGGCAGGAUUGGGUGAGAGGUAGGCGGACAGGGUUGGGUGAGAGGUAGGCAGGCAGGGUUGGGUGAGAGGUAGGCAGGCAGGGUUGGGUGAGAGGUAGGCAGGCAGGGUUGUUAGGAGAGGGAGGCAGCCAGGUAAAAUUUUUCCCUUACACCUAUCCCUAAACCUAACCCUAACCCUAACCCUAACCCUUACCCAGUGGUGGGAAAAGUGUCCAAUUGUCAUACUUGAGUAAAAGUAAAGAUACCUUAGUAGAAAAUGACUCAAGUAAAAGUAAAAGUCACCAAGUAAAAUACUUGAGUAAAAAUCAAAAAGUAUUUGGUUUUAAAUACACUUAAAUGCAGUUUGGGCUCCCAAGUGGCACAGUGGUCUAAGGCACUGUAUCUCAGUGCUAGAGGUGUCCCUACAGACACCCUGGUUCAAAUCUAGGCUGUAUCACAACUGGCAGUGAUUGUGAGUCCCAUAGGGCGGUGCACAAUUAGCCUAUUGCUGUCCGGGUUUGGUGUUGUCACGUCCUGACCAUAUAGAGGAUAUUUUGUUAUUGUAGUUAGGUCAGGAUGUGGCAGAGGGUAGUUUAUUUAUGUAUUAUGGGGUUUUUGGUCACUGGUCUAUGUUUGUAUUUCUAUGUGUAUAUUCUAGGGUAGUUUUUCUAUGUGUAGGUUGGGUGCUGGACUCUCAAUUGGAGGCAGGUGUUUCUAGUUGCCUCUGAUUGGGAGUCCUAUAAAUAGGUGUGUGUUUUGUUUGUCACUUGUGGGUAGUUGUUUGAGAGCACUGCUUUUGUUGAGCCUGCUUCUCUGUUCCUGUUGUUAGUUUGUUUAUUGUUUUUCCGUGGUGUUCUCAUUGUUAUAAUAAAUAUGAUGAACACUAACUCCGCUGCACCUUGGUCCCAUUCUCUCUUCCACGACAGUUGUGACAGAACUACCCACCACAACAGGACCAAGCAGCGGAGGAAAUCUGGCGAGGACCGGGGAAAACGGCUGUUGUGACAGAACUACCCACCACAACAGGACCAAGCAGCGGAGGAAAUCUGGCGAGGACCGGGGAAAACGGCUGGUAAGGGAGCCCGAGAGGCAGCCCCAAUAAUUUUUUUUGGGGGGGCACAAGGGCAGUUUGGCAGGGCGAGGAUGGAGCCCCAGGCCAGCUCCCCGUACCAUUUUUGGGCAGACACGAACUGGACAGGUCCCGUGCUUUGGGGUGAUGGGUACUGUGACGAGGCUGAGCAUUUUCAGGCCGGUAUGCGCAGUGCCAGCGCCCCGCAUGUGCCAGGGGAAAGUGGGCAUCCAGCCAGUAGGGGUGAUGCCAGCCCUGUGCUCGAGACCGCCAGUGCGCCUCUACGGUCCAGUGUUUCCCGCUACACGCACUAGCCUUGAGGUGCGUGUCUCCAGGCUGGCAUGUCCAGUACCAGCCCCACGCAUCAGGCUUCUAGUGCGUCAGCCCAGCCUCGCUAUUCUGGAGCCGCCAGAGCCGCCAGCCAUUCUGGAGCCGCCAGAGACGCCAGCCAGUCUGGAGCCGCCAGAGCCGCCAGUCAGUCUGGAGCCGCCAGAGCCGCCAGCCAGUCUGGAGCUGCCAGCCAGUCUGGAGCCGCCAGCCAGUCUGGAGCCGCCAGAGCCGCCAGCCAGUCUGGAGCCGCCAGAGCCGCCAGCCAGGCCGGAGCCGCCAGGGACAUCAGCCAGGCGAGCGCAGCAAGUGUCGCCCGCCAACCGGGCGCAGCCAGGGUCGCCCGCCAGCCGGGCGCAGCAGGAAUCGCCAGCCUGGCGCAGUCAGGGUCGCCCACCAGUCCUCCGACGCGGCCAGGGGCGCCACCUAAGUGUGCGACGCUGAGGGUGGAGCGGGGAUGAACACUAACUCCGCUGCACCUUGAUCCCAUUCUCUUUUCCACGACAGUUGUGACAGGUGUAGGCAAUCAUUGUAAAUAAGAAUUUGUUCUGAACUGACUUGCCUAGUUAAAUAAAGGUUACAUUUAAGUAAAUGUAAUUGCUAAAAUAUACUUAAGUAUCAAAAGUAAAAGUAAAAAUAACUUGAAAUUCCUUAUAUUAA
rnacentral:lncRNA from 1 species